GAAACGUGAGACACUCUGAAGGCUGUGGUUGCUUGAAUCCAAAGAUGUGGAAUCCACGGAUACACAGGGCCAACUGUACUUGUAACUUCCCACAACAUCCUCUAAAACUUGAGGGUGUCCCAUCUAUUGAGUCGCAGUGAGUAUCUAAAAAGUGAGGGUGGGUUCAACAGGAUGGAGUAUGGAUUUUACAUGACAGAUAUUAGCACGACAAGAAAUGGUGAAAAGCGGGAGUAGUGAAAUUAGUCUUGAAUGAUAUGCAGCUCAACGGGGCACCGCUUGUGCAUUAUGAGCACCUCAGAGCAUCCGCCAUGGCCUGGGCACCAGGCAUCCCAGUCCAGGCACUUCUCAGGAUGGCACGAACUCUGACAGCAAAUCUUCCAGAGAUGUGCAGCCUCUCUGCAUGCUUCUGUUAUUCCUAAGUCGCCUAAAUGCUUUCUGAGCAGAAUUCUAUUUUGGCCCAUACACUGAAGGUUUGUAUGUCUCCUUGCAAAGCAAUAUUCGUUUUUCCUUAGUGAUGGUUUCUAAGCUCCCUGAGCCUACUUGUGUUUGGGAAUGUUGGAAAUGUUGAUUUUUACAAACUCCAAUUAGAUGCCCUUUCACCCCUCUUUCUUACUAAAAAUAUUAACUUUUUAUGAAGUCCAAAAGUAGACUUUCUGUCCAUGCCACGUCUCUUUCUCAGUGGAGGAUUUAAAUCUAGUAACAUAUUCCCAAUGACUGACUUUUUUUCCAUAAUUUUGCACUUCUACUAUUUUAAGUCAAUAACGAGAGCUGCUGUGACCAAGUCUUAUGUGGGGAUAAAAGUAACAUGAAUAUCAGAACACUUUCCAGAGGAAUAGAUGGCAACAUUCAACUGACGAAACAUGUUCCAUAAAAAAAAAGGAGAGGAGUUUCUUUCACUUAAUCUAAUAAUGCAAAUUAUUUCCAGAUCCAGAAACAGCAUUCAAAUCAAUUCCCAGAUGUCAAAGAAAAUGUUCGGGCAAAAUUAUGGCACAACUGGGUAUUACUGGAAUGGUCGCAUAGAUCUGAAUUCUAAUUUCAACUGUGCUCCCACAGGCAGGCUGGCUGCUGCUUGUAAGAACCACUGUGAUCUUUCGUUCCUCAAUUCCCACACAGACACUCUAACAGUGUUAACCAAUCAUCCCAUCAGAGUUCCAUGAGAAUUUAAAAUAACCUAACACUUAAAGAACUAAGUAAUCUUUUUAGUAACAGGAAAGGCAAGCAUUUCCCAAAGUUGCGUGUAUUUUUUCAGAAAAAGAAAGGAAUGCUGCAGAUUUAAAUAUGAGAUUCAAAAUACCCAGUUUCUUUUCCAAGCUAGCCCUGUGAAAGACCUGGGCCAAAUCCCACAAAUCACAGUGUUUUGAGAGUAGUUAAAUCAAUGGAACACGGUCUCUCUCUCCUUAAAGAAUAUCCAUGAAUUAGUAAUUUGUUGCUACACUAGACCAUUAAAGGCAGCUGUUGUGAGUGAAAAGUUGGUGUUUUUAGAUAGAAAGAUACUGUCCUUUGGGAUUACGGAAAGUGACCCACAUACACCUACAGGGCUCUUCCAUGUUUCAUG
rnacentral:lncRNA from 1 species